rnacentral:rRNA from 1 species
UUUAAUGGAGAGUUUGAUCCUGGCUCAGGACGAACGCUGGCGGCGUGCCUAAUACAUGCAAGUCGAGCGAGGGUCUUCGGACCCUAGCGGCGGACGGGUGAGUAACAC